rnacentral:tRNA from 1 species
CAUUGAAUGGCUGAAAUGUUAAGCAAUGGUCUCUUAAACCAAUUUAUAGUAUAUAUACUUUCAAUGA